rnacentral:rRNA from 1 species
UAGGGAAUAUUGCACAAUGAGCGAAAGCUUGAUGCAGCAACGCCGCGUGCGCGAUGACGGCCUUCGGGUUGUAAAGCGCUUUUCGGGGAGAUGAGGAAGGACAGUAACCCCGGAAUAAGUCUCGGCUAACUACGUGCCAGCAGCCGCGGUAACACGUAGGAGGCAAGCGUUAUCCGAAUUUACUGGGCGUAAAGCGCGUGCAGGCGGUUCGGUAAGUUGGAUGUGAAAUCUCCCGGCUCAACUGGGAGGGGACGUUCAAUACUGUCG